rnacentral:tRNA from 1 species
GGGCCCGUAGCUCAGUCUGGUAGAGCAUCACCCUUGCAAGGUGGGGGUCUUGGGUUCAAAAUAAGGAAAGUAUCUGCUUUCCUUGUGAAUUUCCCGACGGGUCCA